GAUGAACGCUAGCGGCAGGCCUAAUACAUGCAAGUCGAACGGGUGGUCGCAAGACCACUAGUGGCGCACGGGUGCGUAACGCGUAACCAACCUGCCCCGAUCUGGGGGAUAGCCCGCCGAAAGGCGGAUUAAUACCGCAUAUACCCGCAGCCUGGCAUCAGGCAACGGGGAAAGAUUUAUUGGAUCGGGAUGGGGUUGCGUGACAUUAGCUAGUUGGCGGGGUAAGGGCCCACCAAGGCGACGAUGUCUAGGGGACCUGAGAGGGUGAUCCCCCACACUGGCACUGAGAUACGGGCCAGACUCCUACGGGAGGCAGCAGUAGGGAAUAUUGGGCAAUGGGCGAGAGCCUGACCCAGCCAUGCCGCGUGCCGGAUGAAGGCCUUCUGGGUUGUAAACGGCUUUUCUCAGGGAAGAAAAAGACCUUGCGAGGUACACUGACGGUACCUGAGGAAUAAGCACCGGCUAACUCCG
rnacentral:rRNA from 1 species